AGCAGCCGCGGUAAUUCCAGCUCCAGUAGCGUAUAUUAAAGUUGUUGCAGUUAAAAAGCUCGUAGUUGAAUUUCGGGGUUAGUAGGUCGGUCGUGCCACCGGUAUGUACUGGCUUCACUGAUCCCUCCUUCUUGUAGAACCGUAAUGCCAUUAACUUGGUGUUGCGGGGAAACAGGACUGUUACUUUGAAAAAAUUAGAGUGUUUAAAGCAGGCUAACGCUUGAAUACAUUAGCAUGGAAUAAUGAAAUAGGACGAUCGAUCCUAUUUUGUUGGUUUCUAGGAUUGACGUAAUGAUUAAUAGGGAUAGUUGGGGGCAUUAGUAUUCAAUUGUCAGAGGUGAAAUUCUUGGAUUUAUUGAAGACUAACUACUGCGAAAGCAUUUGCCAAGGAUGUUUUCAUUAAUCAAGAACGAAAGUUAGGGGAUCGAAGACGAUCAGAUACCGUCGUAGUCUUAACCAUAAACUAUGCCGACUAGGGAUCGGAUGAUGUUAAUUUUUAAUGACUCAUUCGGCGCCUUAC
rnacentral:rRNA from 1 species